rnacentral:rRNA from 1 species
GACGAACGCUGGCGGCGUGCCUAAUACAUGCAAGUCGAACGCACUCUCGUUUAGAUUGAAGGAGCUUGCUCCUGAUUGAUAAACAUUUGAGUGAGUGGCGGACGGGUGAGUAACACGUGGGUAACCUGCCCUAAAGUGGGGGAUAACAUUUGGAAACAGGUGCUAAUACCGCAUAAAACCUAACACCGCAUGGUGUAGGGUUGAAAGAUGGUUUCGGCUAUCACUUUAGGAUGGACCCGCGGUGCAUUAGUUAGUUGGUGAGGUAAAGGCUCACCAAGACCGUGAUGCAUAGCCGACCUGAGAGGGUAAUCGGCCACACUGGGACUGAGACACGGCCCAGACUCCUACGGGAGGCAGCAGUAGGGAAUCUUCCACAAUGGACGAAAGUCUGAUGGAGCAACGCCGCGUGAGUGAAGAAGGUUUUCGGAUCGUAAAACUCUAGUUGUUGGAGAAGAAUGUAUCUGAUAGUAACUGAUCAGGUAGUGACGGUAUCCAACCAGAAAGCCACGGCUAAC